CUAUGAAUGUAUGAAACCACCUCACGGAAGGGAGGGAGGGAAAAGGCUCCUCUUGUCUGAAGCAGUUUCUCAGACUUUCCUGGUUUUUGAUGGCCUCGACAGUGUUGAGGAGCACUGGCCACAUACUACAUAUUUUUACUUCUUUGUGUAUUAUCUCACUCCAAGCAGGAAGGUCAUAAUCCCAGGGUCAAGAGAUCAUGUAGUGUGCUGGGCUCCACAAUGGGCAUGGAGGCUGCUUAAGAUUCUCUCCCUCUCCCAUCUGAAAGAAGCGAAGCAAGAGAAGAGAAGAGAAGAGAAGAGAAGAGAAGAGAAGAGAAGAGAAGAGAAGAGAAGAGAAGAGAAGAGAAAGAGAGAAAGAGCUACAUAAACAUGGAAAAUUUAUUUCUAGUGCUUCUACUCUUCUAUAUAUCCCAUGCAACUACAAGAUAUUAAAACAAAUACUCUUUAGGAAGUAUUCCUUGCCAAAUCUAUAUUCUGGGAAAAUUUAUGAAUUUUAAGUGUAUCAAACAGAUAGCCUUGGGAAAAUUUUACUUUGUGUUUUUUAUUCUGUCUUCUUCCAA